rnacentral:lncRNA from 1 species
AUGAGGAUAAACAUGCACAAGAUGUGCGAAGGAGAGAUCAAGUGUGAGGAGACUGCUGAAACAGGAGAGAAGACUUGCAACCAAAGCAAUCUCAGAUCUGUCCGUGACUCAAUGGUACCACCACCAGGACCUGCAGAGCAGCUAGGAGCUGCACAGGCAGCAAGGAAAAGACUCUGCAAGUUUACAAAAGAGCGAGAAAGCCAGUGGAAAUUUCAGUACAAGGGGAGUCGUGAAAAUCUGGACGCGCAAAAUGUGUUAAUAAGUAAGAAUGCAGAGCUCCUUUCAUUAAUCUUCAAGGUAAUAGUUCUACUGUCCUAUCACUGGAGGAACUAUAUAAAGCAUAUUAAUCAAAUCAAAAUGAAAAGAAAGUUUAAAAACCUCGAUCCCAGGGUGAGCUGUUGACUGUACUAUUCCACUAGAUGGUGAACUCUUCCUGGCCUAAUCCCAGGUAAUUAUAAUUUUGCUCUCACACACUCUUACCUCUGCAUAGUUAGCAUCUCAGUAGGUGAAUAGGUCAUGUCUUUAGGGUAUCAAUUAAUCACACUGCAGAAACUCCACCAUUUUCUGUAGUACUUUAAGCAUUUUUAAUAUUGGUCUCCUUGAGGAGCAUGGAAAUUUGCUGAAAAUGUUAAGUGUAGUAAGCAAUCAAUUAUUCAUGUUCUGGGUUAUUAAUAUCACUUGGAAUUUAUAUAAGCCACAUGUUUUUAAAAUAGGAUAAACCUAGAUUAAGUAGUCACGGGCCACUCACAAAGGCAACACAUCACUAGAAUAAUUAUCAGAAUUCCUUGAGGUAAGGGGCAACAGCGCUCUAUUGAAAAGAGCAGUUGAUAAUCCUGGCUGUCCAAAGAUUAUCUAAUACCUUCUUUGACUAGUUGUUUGCCAAAAGAGUAGAACUCCCACAUAAAUUCUAAAACUAGAAAUGUCACUUUUAAUAUCUUAAAUUACUUGUACCUGAUCUCUAUUUUGAAAUUUAAUUAUAAGCCUUUUUGUCCAUUUUAGCCAUGUGUGGUUGCCUAUUCUCUGAUCUCCUGAGUUGCUUCCUUUCAUACCUGCUCAUUGCGAAAUCUUCUGUCAUCCAAGAUUGAACUUGAAGGCAGCCCGAACACAUGGAGAACUUUUUCAAAGUGAUUGUCUGAAGCACAUACAGCUUUCCCACUUGCAUUAUAUAUAAUUAUUUAUGUGCGAGAAUUACUCUUCUACCUAAGCAGUGAUCCCUUUACCUACAGAAUCUGGGCAUUGAUCACCUGCGUAUGUGUCUGUUUUGGUGCUUCGCAUUUAAUGAGCCCUUAACAAUUACGUGAAUAAAAACACAUUGAUUUAGGUGAUGCA